rnacentral:tRNA from 1 species
GAGGUUUAGCUCAGCUGGGAGAGCAUCUGACUUUUAAUCAGAGGGUCGCUGGUUCGAACCCAGCACGGCUCA